rnacentral:rRNA from 1 species
AAACCAACAGGGAUUGCCCUAGUAACGGCGAGUGAACAGGCAAGAGCUCAGAUUUGAAAGGCACUUUUGUGCCGUUGUAUUCUGAANUUAGGGUCCUGANAAACGAUGCUUAAGUCUUCUGGAAAGGAGCGCCAUGGAGGGUGAUAGCCCCGUCUAGCAUUGACCUCAUAUAGGAUCUUAACAUG